rnacentral:snoRNA from 1 species
UAAAUAAAUAAAGAACCAGAAAGCUCCCGAAUAGCCUUUUCCUGUGUACUUUAACGGUUGACGCAGCAGAUAGGUUAAAACCUAGAGAGGAGAUUGCAGAACUCCUCUUUGGAUCCUGGCCGGUGUCACAGCU